rnacentral:rRNA from 1 species
AACGAACGCUGGCGGCAGGCUUAACACAUGCAAGUCGAACGCAUCCUUCGGGGUGAGUGGCAGACGGGUGAGUAACGCGUGGGAACGUGCCCUUCAGUUCGGGAUAACCCAGGGAAACUUGGGCUAAAACCGGCUACGUGAGAGAGCAGAAAGAUUUAUCGCUGAAGGAUCGGCCCGCGUCUGAUUAGCUAGUUGGUGGGGUAAUGGCCCACCAAGGCGACGAUCAGUAGCUGGUCUGAGAGGAUGAUCAGCCACAUUGGGACUGAGACACGGCCCAAACUCCUACGGGAGGCAGCAGUGGGGAAUAUUGGACAAUGGGCGCAAGCCUGAUCCAGCCAUGCCGCGUGAGUGAUGAGGGCCUUAGGGUUGUAAAGCUCUUUCGUCCGGGACGAUAAUGACGGUACCGGAAGAAGAAGCCCCGGCUAACUUCGUGCCAGCCGCCGCCGUAAUAC